rnacentral:rRNA from 1 species
GUGGGGAAUAUUGGACAAUGGGCGAAAGCCUGAUCCAGCCAUGCCGCGUGUGUGAAGAAGGUCUUCGGAUUGUAAAGCACUUUAAGUUGGGAGGAAGGGCAGUAAGUUAAUACCUUGCUGUUUUGACGUUACCGACAGAAUAAGCACCGGCUAACUUCGUGCCAGCAGCCGCGGUAAUACGAAGGGUGCAAGCGUUAAUCGGAAUUACUGGGCGUAAAGCGCGCGUAGGUGGUUUUGUAAGUUGGAGGUGAAAUCCACGGGCUCAACCUGGGAACUGCAUCCAAAACUGCAUGACUAGAGUACGGUAGAGGGUAGUGGAAUUGCCUGUGUAGCGGUGAAAUGCGUAGAUAUAGGAAGGAACACCAGUGGCGAAGGCGACUACCUGGACUGAGACUGACACUGAGGUGCGAAAGCGUGGGGAGCAAACAGGAUUAGAUACCCGGGUAGUCC